UACGGAGGGUGCGAGCGUUGUCCGGAAUCACUGGGCGUAAGGGGCGCGUAGGCGGCCACCGCAAGUCGACUGUGAAAUCUCCGGGCUUAACCCGGAACGGUCAGCCGAUACUGCGGGGCUAGAGUGCAGAAGGGGCAACUGGAAUUCUCGGUGUAGCGGUGAAAUGCGUAGAUAUCGAGAGGAACACCUGAGGUGAAGACGGGUUGCUGGGCCGACACUGACGCUGACAGCGCGAAAGCCAGGGGAGCAAACGGG
rnacentral:rRNA from 1 species